rnacentral:rRNA from 1 species
UACGUAGGGUGCGAGCGUUGUCCGGAAUUAUUGGGCGUAAAGAGCUUGUAGGCGGUUUGUCGCGUCUGCCGUGAAAUUUCGGGGCUCAACCCCGAACUUGCGGUGGGUACGGGCAGACUAGAGUGUGGUAGGGGAGACUGGAAUUCCUGGUGUAGCGGUGAAAUGCGCAGAUAUCAGGAAGAACACCCGUGGCGAAGGCGGCUCUCUGGGACGGUACUGACGCUGAGACGCGAAAGCGUGGGGAGCGAACAGG